UCAAAUUUUGUACAAUUUCGGCACUGAGGCUUUCAUUAAUUAUUGCCAUUAUUUUGGCCAUAUCAUUUACUCACCAUGGACCAUAUCAUUAAUGUCAUCUUUUUUUUGUUUUUCAAAUGCUAUAAGGGGUCAGCACCGACAAAAGAAAAGAAAAAGAAUAAGCAAGAACUCAACAAAGCUACAAUCCAUGGCGACUCAACCUCUUCUUCUUCUUCUUCUUCUUCUUCUUCUUCCUCUGCUACUCUUCUUUCUGUUACAGCCCUGGACCUUGCAGCUUGUGCUGUCUGCCUCCAUAGUCAACUAUCUCCCUGGUUUCCAAGGUCCUCUGCCUUUUCAUCUUGAAACAGGGUAUAUCGGAGUUGGUGAAUCGGAGGACACCCAGCUUUUCUACUACUUUGUAAAGUCGGAGAGAAGACCUGAGAAAGAUCCUCUGUUGCUGUGGCUCACAGGGGGCCCUGGUUGCUCUGCUUGGUCUUUAGGCUCCUCCCAGAGAAAUUCCCGCAAAACCAAGCCCCAAUUUCAAAUUGGGACACUAGCUUAGCAAUUAUUUGUGAAAAACAAAAAAAAAUGCAGUGAUUAAUCAAUAUUCUACAAAUUAAUUAAAAGAAGACUUCUGUAGUGAUUUACAAAUCAAAUGUUAUAAAAAAAAAACUGGAAAGUUCAAAAAUUCCUCUCUACAAUUCUUUGUUGAGUUUUGUAUAACAAAAAACUCUUCACAGAAACCUCACUUCCCAAAUCCCCUUUACAACCAAUGCACUCAUUGAUCUUAACUCAUAAAUUAACAUUUUAUUUAUAAAAUAGAGUUCAUGAGAAUUUGCUAAAACAUAAAACUUAACUCCAUUAAACCAGUAGAAUAAGUACUAAUUAUGCAUUAUAGAAUGUUUACCAUCUUUUCUUUUUCACCCUUUUUUUCCUAAGCCUUUCAACAUACACCAUAAAACAUUUUCAUUUCAUUUUAAGAAGAGACGAAAGUCACCUGUUCAUGAGCGACCUCCUCCCAAAUUUAUUGAAAACCUCACUUAUGGCGGAGGAAAACCGUAGUAACAAUCAGGACACUUGGAAAUUACAGAAAGAUAUAGAAAAAAUCUCAAACAUGAAAAUAAUAAGAAAGAACUAGACAUUACUAAAUGCAUACAAAAUAAAAUGAAAGACCAAUCUAAACAAGCCUAGAUUUAUGAAAACCAAAACAACUAAAUUACAAUCUAACAUGAACAUUGCUAGUUUCGUUAGAGAGACAUUGGCAUAAGUUGAAAGUGAAAAGCAUGAUUUUGCAGAAUGUGUCAACCAAGAUUGUAAAAUAUACCUUAAUCAUUGAUGAUCGUUAGAGAAUACGCUCAGCCUAAAGUAGUAGUUCAUUGUUAUAUCCCAUGCCUUCCAAGGAGCAUGUUCCACCACUUUGCAGAUUGAAUAUUGUCCCAGUCUUAUAGCUUUUCCCAGAUUUCGUCUGAUCUAGUUAUGAAUUGCACUGCAAAGGCUGGCAGAUUGGUCAGUUGUAGUAUAUUGUCCCAUGUAUAGAUUCAACUAGCACAAAUUUCAUCAUUGAUCAGUAAUUAGGCAAGAGUACAUAAUCUUUAAUAUGUAAAUUUCAUUGACAAACAAGUACUUCUCUACAAGUAUUUUCUGCAGAGGCUUUGCCCUUUGAACUUGUGCUUUCGCAAACAUUCUCAGAUAUACAUCUCUAUGUAAAUAAACAUGUCUAUAAACACUAAUCGUUUUACUUAGUAUCAGAUGGGGUUUUUAUAGCAGAAAGAAUUUCCAUGUGAAGCAUGUUCUGAACAGUAAAAAGAAAUCUGAACCUUAUUGGAUUAAUUCUCAUAAUGAUAUUUGGUCAUUCUGAACUCAAGUGACUUUCAUUUAUUGCAGCUCUAAGACUUGUUUUGCUCAAGCAAUCUGCAACCAAGAAAAGUUGCCUAGUUUGUACUAUAUUGCUUGAUUAAAUUCCAAUGGCUAACAAAUUUGUUAGAGGAUAUGUAAAGCUAUACUAAUAAGUACAC